rnacentral:rRNA from 1 species
AUUGAACGCUGGCGGCAUGCCUUACACAUGCAAGUCGAACGGUAACAGGUCUUCGGACGCUGACGAGUGGCGAACGGGUGAGUAAUACAUCGGAACGUGCCCAGUCGUGGGGGAUAACUACUCGAAAGAGUGGCUAAUACCGCAUACGAUCUGAGGAUGAAAGCAGGGGACCGCAAGGCCUUGCGCGAACGGAGCGGCCGAUGGCAGAUUAGGUAGUUGGUGGGAUAAAAGCUUACCAAGCCGACGAUCUGUAGCUGGUCUGAGAGGACGACCAGCCACACUGGGACUGAGACACGGCCCAGACUCCUACGGGAGGCAGCAGUGGGGAAUUUUGGACAAUGGGCGAAAGCCUGAUCCAGCCAUGCCGCGUGCAGGAUGAAGGCCUUCGGGUUGUAAACUGCUUUUGUACGGAACGAAAAGACUCUUUCUAAUAAAGAGGGUCCAUGACGGUACCGUAAGAAUAAGCACCGGCUAACUACGUGCCAGCCGCCGCGGUAAUAC